rnacentral:lncRNA from 1 species
AUGACUGAAGUAAAUAUUAAGGGGAAAGUUAUAAGAUUCAACAGAUAAAUUUAUAAAACUAUAAUUUUAAAAAAAAUAGAUUGAGGAUGAAUACAUUAAUCAUAUCAGGUGUUCGUUAAUAAUAAUAAUAAUAAAACAAAAAUAUUAAAGUAAUUCAUACACGGUAAAUUGUCUUAAGAUUAUAAAAAUUAUCUUAGUAUCAAUAUUGAUCAAUUAUGUAUAAUUGUUGGUGAAAUAUACAUAUGAGAUAAAGCAAAUUUUAUUAUAAGAAUAUGUGUUCAUACGCACGGUUGUUCUAAACGUACAUGUUACCUUGUCAGUAAAUCCUAGGAUGACAAAGUUAAAUUGUUAUCCAAACAGUAUUUCUAUUGGCAAAUAAUAAUAGAAAUAAUGGGGAUGAAAAUAAUAGUUUGAAGUCUGUGUUUGUGCAAAGAAAUAAAGCAACGUGGAUAAGAUAGAAUCGCAUAAGCACAUACGACAAUUCAUGAAGAAUUAUAGUAUUCUACAUGAAUAUGGUGGUCCCGAUCUACAACGGCUAGGACAGUGAUUCUAGUGUUCCUUUUUUUGAGAGCAUAAUUGGUUGAAAACAUUUCUAAAAUUGUAUGGAGUGAAUUCUUACCAUGGUAUAAAUGGGCAUGAAGGUUAAUAACAAACAGAAGAGCACAGUUUAUAAUUGAACUAAAGUGACCGAUGUGUGAUGAAUUGGGAGUAGUAAAAUAGAAACUUCAGUGUACCAAUCUUUUACUGACCUAGUGGAAAGAUUAAAUAGGGAAUAUAAGUCUCGCGAUAUGAAAAGUAAUGGUCUAAGAAAAUAUCCUUUAUAAAUAAGUGGCGUAAAUGCCUGGGUGGAGCCUGAGCUCAAGUAAGGUUACUAGUAAUACCAACAUUAGGUUAUUCUCUUAUUUCUAAUUAACUGGAACAUAUUCAGUAGUAUCUGCCAUAAUAAAAAUUAUAUUACAAAAUUCCUGAAUGCAUCCAUAUCAAUUCUUGAAUUGGUUAAUAUGAUUAAUGAAUCGUUAGAUAAACAGUAAGAAAGUCAUCUCAAGAAAUGAAGAGGCUUGUAAUAAAAAGGCUAGUAAACAAAAUAUUAGUGUUGAAAAUAUUGUCUUUUGUGGGUACCACAAACUGACAAUAAUUGUAAGUAGUUAUUUAUUAUAAUAGACCUUUUAAGAUUUUAAGAAAUUAAGGACAUAAAAUGUCAAGCUUAAAGCAAACAAAGUUACAAAGACAAUAAAUAUUUAAAAAAAGAAAAACCCCUUUAAUACAGCUCUCUAUCGUUGGAAAAGUAAUAAACUUUUUACUCUAAACUAACGGGAAGAUAAUAGUUUUUCAACUCAAUUUAGAAGAGAUUAUAUUGGAAAGAAAGAACUCUUUGAUUAUUUUUGAAGAAACAUGUUUAGCUAAGGUUUUUUUUAGCUCUUUAGGUGACAAUUCAUGAAAUUGUUGGAGCUGUUUCAAUAUGUUGUUGUUGUGUGGGUGAAGAUUUGUCCCAAAAUCUUAGAGUAACGCUCUACGAUAAAAAAAUCAAAUAUAUCUAUAUAGAGUUAAACGAACUAAUGGUGUUAUGUGGAUAUGGCAAGAACAACAAGAUGGAUGUUAAAGAAUUGUUUACUAAGUUCUCUUGUGAUGAAUAUUCAUGGUCAGAAUUACUAAAUACCUUAAUGCAGAAAGAAGAAGAACUUAAAUAUAUCUGACAUGCAGGUGGAACAAUGGAAUGUGAAGAAGAUAUUGGAUAGGGGGAAAACGACAAAUCAUGAUGGAUCAAUCAGCCCAGCUUAAAGUUAGAGGGCUUGAAACUUUUACUCUUUACCUGUUCAACUUAAGAGGACAGCAAAUGAAUUAGACGCGGUGUACCUUUGUUUAAUAAAUAUUAUCAGUUAUAUAAGUAUACAGAACGCCCGCGACAGUAGAAUAAGGUGUUCCAAUGUCAUAUUGAUCACAAAUUGGUUAAUAUUUGGCGAUAGGUGAUAUUAAAGUUAAAUACAAAGAAAUCGAGACAGAGGAAUUGGUGGAUUGUAAUCAUCCUGCAGAUAUUCGUCUGUUUCCACAUCUAAGGUUGUUUAAAAUGGGACAAAAAGAUGUUUGCCAGUAUUGAUUCAUGAAAAAUUUAAAUUAGCCAAGGGACUAUGUUACAUAAUAUUACAUAAUUUGGACGACAUAUUUGUGUCUUAAAUCAAUGAUGGAAAAGUUUUGUUGAUGUAUAGAACGCACAAUGGAUCAAAGUGUCGUGUGCAAGUGCUUCAAUUAUACAACAAAGCAUGAAGAAGUACUUGGAAAUGGUUAAUGGAUUCUAACAUUAAUUAAUAAGUACAAUGUUAGAAUGGAGAAGUAUUUGACUGGAGCAAGAUCAAGGUGAGAGCUAUGCAAGUAAUGAUUUUGGAAGAAGUGAAAAAUAUUAUUGUAAAUUUGGAUGUACAUGAGUUGGAUCUGUAAAUAUGGACAAUCAAGCAUCAAGAAAAAAUUAGAAUCAUUAGUGGAACUGUAUAAGUCAGUCUCAAAUGAAUAAGUUGAAUAAUGAAAAGAUCUGCUCCGAUGAAAAAAAAAAAUGCUUCAUAAUUUACGGUAUAGUUGGUAUCGAGACUUUACUAAUUAUUAUAAUUGCAGGAUUCAUUUGUAUAUUGGUAAGAUACAAGCCAGUAGGGUGUAGAGGAGUGAGGCUCAAUUCUGAUCGACUGUGUAGAAAGGAAGAAAAUACGAGGUCGUAUUUUCCUCAUUCAGGAUCGUUGCAAUCAGGAUCAUAUUUUUAUACCAUCUAUUUAAUUUAAGUACGGGAAUGAAUGUCUAUAAUUGUAUAUUAUUAAUGAUUGUAUGUUUAUGUAUGAUAACUACUUUAAAGGGGUCGGUUUAUCGCUGAGUGAGAGGUUUUGUAUCAUCAUGUAGAUGAAUCAUAUCUAGAAUCCAGCCCAUAUUAUCAUGUGCGCCUAUCUCGAAAGUAUUAUAAUAUACCGUGCAAUGCACAACUACAGGAAACUCCUUGCUCUAUUCCCAAUGAACUAUGUAAACAUCUAAAUCUAAGGUAGGCUCUUAAGCACUUAAUACACAUCCUAUUGUUAGUAGUCUCCAACGUAAUUUAUAUCCAAAGAUAAAAUACUUCUUAGACCUUUGUUACUAGAUAUCCUUUUAUAAAAUAUAAGUAACUUUGUAGUAGCCUUUUCUAUGAUUGCAAUUCGCUUGGAUAGAAAAGUACUCU